UACGUAGGGUGCAAGCGUUAAUCGGAAUUACUGGGCGUAAAGCGUGCGCAGGCGGCUUUGCAAGACAGAUGUGAAAUCCCCGGGCUUAACCGUGGGAACUGCAUUUGUGAUCUGCAUGGCUGGAGUGCGGCAGAGGGGGAUGGAAUUCCGCGUGUAGCAGUGAAAUGCGUAGAUAUGCGGAGGAACACCGAUGGCGAAGGCAAUCCCCUGGGCCUGCACUGACGCUCAUGCACGAAAGCGUGGGGAGCAAACAGG
rnacentral:rRNA from 1 species